UGACUCUCGGCAACGGAUAUCUUGGCUCUCGCAUCGAUGAAGAACGUAGCGAAACGCGAUACUUGGUGUGAAUUGCAGAAUCCCGUGAACCAUCGAGUCUUUGAACGCAAGUUGCGCCCGAGGCCGUCCGGCCAAGGGCACGCCUGCCUGGGCGUCACGCCUGCCGACGCUCAUUGCC
rnacentral:rRNA from 1 species